GGGGAAGUAGUUUAAUGGUAAAACAGCGGUCUCCAAAACCGUCGUUGUGAGUUCGACUCUUUCCUUCCCCGCCA
rnacentral:tRNA from 1 species